GAGUGUUGUACGCGUAUGAACUUAAGAAUUCUAAGGUUAGGGAGGGGUAGGUGGGUUGAUUAUGAGUGCAAAGGAAGGUUAAGUCGGCAAGGCGGAACAUCCACUCGAUACCUUGGAGUAAUCCUAAUUGUUGUAAACAAGUUAAAUCAGGAUACCUGGUAGAGACGACGCCUCGCUGUUGGAAACGCUCGAAUUGCUCCCUUUGAUAGUUUUCAUCUUCGG
rnacentral:lncRNA from 1 species